UACAGGAGAUGGGUGUAAGAACUGGCCCACAAAGGAGCUGGUUCCACCAAAAAUCUCUUCCUGAGUUUCUUGAUCUGUGAAGCAUUGACUGGUUCCACAUUCCAAAUUGCAAACACAAGUGAAAAAAGCUUGUUUAAGAACAAUUGGACUGUCUUCAUAUGCAGAAUGGAUCUUGAGCUUUGUACAGGAGAUGGGUGUAAGAACUGGUCCACAAGGUAGCUGGUUCCACCAAAAAAUCUCUUUCUGAGUUUCUUGAUCUGUGAAGCAUAGACUGCGAGUACAAGACAAAAUUGAUCUUGAACUCCACACAAGAUUGGUGUAAGAACUGACCUGUAUAGGAGUUGAUUUCAUAUUGCCUUUCUCUGGUGCCUUUGUUUCCCUUUGUGUAAAAGAAACUGACACUACAAAAGAACUGUUCAAAAAUGUCUAUAGUUGCUCUGAUUUGAAUUUCAACUUUUUGCAUUAUUGAAACUGAUCUUGAGAAAGUUUUAGUUUUCUCUUUUCUUCAAAUUUAAUUAACUUACCUAUUUAUUUUUUUCUGAAUUCAGUUUUACAACCCAGAUAAAAUUUGAAAAUUUAUGUGACUACUCAGCUCACUUAGUAUAUGUACUAUUUUGAGUAGGAUUUUGCCAAGUAUUAAAUCAAUUUUAUUCACUGUUUUGAUUACUUAUUAUUUAUUUUCUGGCAAAUAAAUAGCUGGUGCUGACUUGCAAACUGAGGAAAAUUACUAAUUAAAUAAUGAUUAGAAUUGAUGAUAAUUUAUUAACCCCUAAGUUUAUUAACAAUUUAUUGAUUAAUUAACAUUCUUCAAAUAAAAUGUUUAACCUUCACAGGAUUUUAAGACCAAAGGUAUUCAACCUUACGACCAAGGAUGUUGAACGUGACAAUCUUUCAUCCACUUCACCAGAAUACAGGUAUCAACGGUGGCUGGUUUCAAAUGUUCAAGAAGGUGAUUUCCCAAAGCAUCAUUUACACUGUUGAAAAAGUUCCUCUCACAUUUUUCGUUAACACGAGAGACAAACUCAACUUUAAAAACCAAAGUUGUUCAACUUAACAAAGAUGUUAAACGUGAUAAUAAUUGGUUUCGCUACGAUACAGGUGAGCCCCCUUAGAUAUCUUAAAUGGUUACGAAUAGGUCCAAUAUGCGUACAUGUGGUACUACGUUCAUUGUACUUCAACGGCGUUUGGUUUGGUUGUAACAGCGAUCGGGAUCCGAUUUGGUCAGUGUUGGUUGAAAUUGCAAUUUAGUUUGAGAAUUUUCAA